rnacentral:lncRNA from 1 species
UAAAAAAAUAUUAUUUCAAACAUUAAAAUUUGGAAAAAAUGGAGGCCAAACGGGGGCAUAAUUAGAUAAGAAUCAUAAAAAGCAAACCUUAGUGGAAAAGUGGUGGAAGAAAAAGAUAUUAAAGUGAGUGAUUAGAUGGAGGUCUGGCGGGCGAUAGCUUGACCAACAUUAAAGAGUGUGCGCAUGCGGACUUGUUUGAACUAAUAUAAGAUAUAUAUUUCUAUCAAAUUAUAAGGCCUAGUAAAUAUAAUAUAAAUAAUAAUUUAUUUUGAAUCAGGUGGAAAGAUAUUUCAAAAUAUCUGUGUAAAACUUGUGUUGGUAUUUCGGGCUCUUAAAGUUGUUAGUUAUUAGAUGCAAAAAAAGGUUGUCGAGCACAUUAAUGAUAUUUUUUAAAACUUGUACUGAUUAUGCUUCGAUGUCAAAGAGUACCAUUACAAUUUACAUGAGCAAAAAAUGUCAAACUCUUGUCCUUUGCAUGAAAAGUGCUUUGCUUGGAUUACUCUACCAAUCUGUCUUUUCCUUCACCACACACGCUUCGCCUGGCACCAGGCAUAACCUUUGAACAAAUUCAUUGCAUUUGGUGCUGUAAUUUGGAUGGUUCUAAGUAGCUGAAUUUUGUGCAUGUCAUUUGUAUACUCGUGAAAAUCAUGCCAAUCCAUAGAAACCUCUAAAGACAUAGCACUUAUCACAGUAGUUUUGUAUUUUGACAGAAUGAAAAUUCAAAUGCAUUUGUUGCCACGGGACAUAAUGAGUAAGAGUAGCCCAUGUUUGGUAUACAUUUUUUGAGAAUAUAUUUUGUGAAAAGUGGGGUUCCAAACCUGCUGCGACUACCUCUCUUCUAUUUUAAAAAGCAAGGGCAUUUUUUUAGAAUGUGUUGUUAAAAUGUAAGGAAAGAGUUACGAGUCCACGCUCAAAAUUAUUUUAUUGAAAAAAUGUAUGGUUCAAAAUGAGUUUGGGAAAAAAUAAGUUUGAAAAAUGGGGCCAAACAAGGGCUUAAUUUUUCAUUUCCGUUGACUUGUUAAAUUCAUUAAAUUGUUUGUAGAUCAGAAUAUCGUCAGAUCCAUUCAUGUACUGAUGGAACCAGGGACUCGAAACACACGAAGGAUGGGGAAUCUUUGCUUUUUUUUUUUUUUUUAAUUAAUUUUGUUGUUUAAUUAGGGUUUUAUGUCAUUUUCCUUUUCAAAGAUUAGGUUUUUUUUUUUGUGUUUUUAGAAAUAGGGCCUGUGUUAGUUGUUAUUUUAUUGAAUAAAAUUACGGAAGUUUGGUGUUACACAAAUUCAUGUGAUCCUUUCUUGGUAUUUUGGAAUUAACAAGUUUUCAAUCAUGUAUUUGUCCUAUUUUACACAGUGUUACAUCAUAUACUCUAUCAAUUUGUCAUGAAUGGUUGAUAUUUUGUUGUCUUUGGUUGCUUUGUCUGAAUGCAUAUUAAAAGCCUUAUCCUUUUGUUUUGAAUUUCUAAAGGCGCGUUAAGAAUAUUCUUAUUCAGUCAUUUUUUAAAUAGAAAUAGGUGAUAGUAAUUUAAAGUCUAAAAGCUGUGACCGAAGAGUCGUGAAUUAUAUAUCGUACUGGAGAGUGAUUUCAAACGUGUUAGUUGAAAUAAAACUGAAGUGUAAAUGUAUAAAAGAAGCAAACAAAACGAAAGUAAAUCUUAUGUGGCAAAAAGGAGGAAGCAAAUGAUGUUCAUGUCGAUAAAUGCGGACCAUGGCUUGAAUAUUAUUUUAGUGCUUGUGCACUUAUGCAUAUUAAAAUGUUUGAUAGUGCAUGGUGUAUAUUUAUAUUAAAUUGAAUAGGCAACAUACAUAAGCAUGUUAACAUUUUCACUACGUGUAAUUUUCAUCAAUCAUAUUCUAAUAUAUUCAGAAGUUGGUAAUUUUCAAACAUCUUGAUCCUGUGUUGGUAUUCCUGAGGUUUGAACUUGUUACUUCUUCUAUAUUCAUAUGGAAAUAACAUUAUUGAACACACGUGGAGUAUUUGUAACUUCCUCUAGUUAUGAUUGAACCAUGAAAAGUACAUCACAUACAUGAAUAAUGUUCCAAUUUUGUCAUUCGUCCAGGAAAAUAAGGUCUUGUGUUCAUUUGGACUACUCUAACCCAACAAAGGGUCUGCACUGCUACACUCACUGCUAGCUUAAAUUCUUGCUGGGAUUAUUGUGAAUGUGGGUUGUGUAAAGUGGAGAAUCAAAUGAUAAGAGCCCGUUGAUAAAUAUAAUCGUUUUGGUCAAAAGUUUAGAUUAAAGUUUCCUAAUAGUGUAGACACACUAAUCGGGUAAAAACUCCUAUCCUUAGCUAAACAAGCCUUGAGUAUAUAUUUCUAUGGAAUAAUUAUGGUUCAAGAGCUGUAAAUUAAUAGAUGUUUUAUUGAUAGAUGCCAAACAUGAUAGGCAGCUGAAUCUGAUAAUAAAUAGAUUUUAUAACAUGAAUGUAUAAAAGAAGAAUAAAAGCCUAAAAAGAAAUUUUUCAAGGCAAAGAGGAAGGUGAUAUUCAAAUGUAGGUUGAAAGAUAUUACAAAUUAUUUUGAUCCAUAACUCCUGUUGCAUUAUUGUAUGGAAAUAAGAAUUAUUUUGUUGUUAGCGGCUGCAGUUUUCUAAUUUUAAUAAAUUAGUGGUAUUUUUUAACUUUGCUAACUAUGGUUGAAAAUUUAGAAAGAUUGUUGCAGAAACCAAUAUGUUUGAAGCUCUUUACUUUUCCAAACUGCGGUUUUCUAAUUUUAAUAAAUUAGUGGUAUUUUUGAAUUUGCGAACUAUGGUUGGAAAUUUAGAAAGAUUGUCGCACAAACCAAUAUGUUUUAAGCUUUUUCUUUUUCCAGUAAAAGAGGGUCUUCAUCCACCAUAACCUCCACUAGUUGUUCCUAGUUGUAGUAAGGAGGCUGGGGGUAGAUGCCAGCUCUAAAUUGCUGAAAGACGGUUAUUCAUUUUACGAUCCGACUAUUCUAGAAUUGGAAUACUUGGAAUUUUAUGUUGAUAGGCUGGAGGUUCAAUUAAUUAAGAGGCUUUCUUUGUUUUCUUUUUGGCAUCUUCAACUUUAGAAACUAGAGCAGAAUCAGUAAUCAAUAUAGGCAUUCUUGGGCAAGUAAAAACCUACUUCCUCCAUUUGAGUUGUAACCUGCCACUAAGAAAACUUGCUCAAGAUUUAUUUCAAAGAUUUUGUUCUUUUUUCAUUUGUAAUUGACCUUUUUCAUGAUCUAAGUGAUUAUCAAAUGUUUUAUGUUUAUUAUGUCAGUAGUUCCUUUUUAUUUUUGCUAAAUUAAGGAGAUUAUUUUUUUCCUUCAUGCACAAGAAGUGUGCAAAUUUGGCUUUGUACUUCGUGCAACAAAUGUGCAGGUUUGAUGCAACAAAUGCGAAAGUUUGCUUUGUAAAUAAGUCACCCAAAUUGAAUUAUUGAAAAUUGAGCCAACUCCCUUUUCCUUGAAUGAUGUGAUGGUGAGCCUCUUAUUCUAAGUCAAUGCUAACCAAACCCUGUUAUUUGUGUAAUUCUUAAAUUUCUCAAAAUUUCUGAUAAUCUCUUGUAAAUCAUUCAUCCUCACUCAAGAUUGGAGUUCAUUUGAUAUUGGAUACUCCUUGGUAUUGAAUGAGUCCAUUUAAAUGGUACGCUAUGAAACCGCUUCUGCUGUUUUGUUUCUGAAUCACAUGCAAAUCGCUUGAAUUGCACCACUUUUUUACUAAAAACUAGAGAGGAAUAAUAUAUCUAUAACAUCUCAUUUUUCUUCUCAAAUUUCAAAGAGGAUUCACAUCUUAGAGCUUGCUUGGUACAGUUUAAAAGUCAAUUAAAAUCAAUUUUUUGACCGUUAUUUCACUAUUCCGGCCGUCAUUUUUUAAUUUUUUUCUCACAGGUGGGACCCACUUUAUCUCUAAAGGUCAAAAAAUCGAUUAUCAAAUUCCUACCAAACAAGCACUUAGGGUCCGUUUGAUUGUAAUGAUGGAAAUUGGAUGGAAAGAAAAUGAAUUCUAGAUAAUUAAAUUACCUAGAAAUUAUUUUUCUGGGAAUUGUCAAUUGAUUGUGUUUGAUUGAUAUAAUUUUUGACGUGGAAAUUGUUGAAAUAAAAGUUUUUUUUGUGUUCGUUUGAUUUUGUUUUACAUGAAAUUUAUCAAUUAAAGGGAUAAAAUUUACUGGUAUUGGGGAUAUAAUUUGUUCCAUUAUAAAAAAAAAGAAAAGAAAAUUAUCUUUCUUUUGAUGUUCGUUUGACUAUGUUUUACACGAAAAUUGUCAAUUAAAGGAAAAUAUUUUGUUACAAUUAGGGGUAGAAUUUGUUUACAUUGCAAAAAAGAAAAAAACGAAAAAAAUUAAAAAUAAAAUAGCUACAGAUGCCUAGAAUUCGAAUUCCAUGAAAGCAUAGAAAAUUGCUCCUUCCCGAGAAAAACAAGAAAACUAAUUUCUUGGAAAAAAAAGGCUAUCAAACAGCCAAAAAGAUGGAAAAUUGAAUUGAUUUUCCAUUUUCCAUGGAAAAUUUGGUAUAAUCAAACAGGGCCUUAAUGUUAUUCAAGUUAAUUCUUCCGUUCUCUCAUUGCUUAAGGAAUUACACUCAUCUUUGUUUAUUGUUGUUUUGGAUAGCUUAAAAGGUUACUAGAAAGUUUUGGAUAGCUUAAAAAGUCUUUUUCAUACAAAUUUGCUUGGGACAAUAAUUUUAAGUGAUGAAGUGUGACAGGCGAAAAGGAACAGAUGGCUCCCAACCAUCAGAAGACUUCCUGGUUACAUGUCCAAUUGUGUAAUGUGUACUAUGAGACAAUAAUUUUUGCUUUUAUGCGUCCUUAACUCCCUCCUUUAUGUGAUGGAACCUACAAGAACUCCCUUUGAUGCACCAUCCUUUGGCAUAAAAUUCAUAUAUAAUCCUUUGCCUUUCAUUCCCACCUGUCUACUCAAUGCUAGAUGAAAAAUCUCUUGGCCUUGUCUGUGAAACAUCAACCCAUUUGUGACAUUGCAGCAAAAUACUCUUAACACCUUUAAACUUCUCACUAGAAGCAUCAACCAUUGAUGGUGCAACUUUGACUUCUCUUAACAGAAGAUUUGUUGUACAGCAUUCGUUCCCCAACUGUCGCAUUAAGGAACAUUUUCAUCAAUCUUUCGGAGUUCUCUUUCUUGCAAGAGCCUUAUAGUUAUUUUCAUGCUUCAAUUGAUUUUAUGCUACCUAAUUGUCCCCAAACUGGGUUUCAUAUUUCAAAGAAUUCUUUCUUGUUUCUUAUUGUACUUCAAAGUUUACCUUUGUACUUCGUGCAACAAAUGUGUAAGUUUAGCUUUGUACUUCGUGCAACAUAUUUGCAAUUUUGGCUUUGUAAAAGUGAGAUCAUACAAAGGCAGUAUAACAUGUUACGUUGACAUAGUAAAAAGGGAACAUACCAAGGCAUCGAAAAUUAAGGGUCAUAGUCAAGUUAGACGUGGAUAAGUGGGACAGUGGGAUUCUAAGGAGAAGCCUGAUCUUGGGAAAACUUGCGUUGGUGAUGUCAUCUAUUUUGGUGUUGUGCAAGCUCAAUCUAAACCUGAGAGUGCUACUGAUUUGAAAGGCUUAGAAAUUGCACAUUUGGCAAACAAUGGAAAUUCUGGCUCUAUUUCUCCUUUAAAAAAAAAAAAAUAAAUUAGAUUAAGUUUAUGUCCAGUUUUGCACAUUUGGCCAAAAAUGGAAAUUCUGGCUCUAUUUUAAUAAAAAAAAUAAAAAAUAAAAAAAUCUUGAUUAAGUUUAUGUCCUGUUUCCUAACCUGUGAUCAAGUUGAUAUGCUUCUUAUGGGAGGAGACAUUUCCAAAGAGCACUUCGACCUUGGCUGGUUUAGGAAGGAUGGAAUUGUUCAUAGCUCUUGGUCCUACUUGUCCUGGAAGUUCUUGGCGUCAUGGUAGAAACUUCUUUACCUUGUGGAACCAUCCAGCAUGUGUGUUUUGAUAGGAAAAGAAAAUUUAUGCCUAAUAAAUCCAAAGGAUUGAUGAAGUCAGGAACUCAGGACAUAUUGCCAAUUCGAGUUUAUGAUUUAAGUCCAAAGCAUGUAAUCGAUAACCAGAGAGCUCUACUUAGAAGAUAAGACUGGAGAGCUCUUGAGAAUUUAGGAUGUGGGGCAUGGGUGUCUUAGACAUUGCAUGGAAUAUGGUCGUCCCUCCCUACCCGUUUCCUUUUUAUUUUUUUUUCCCUCCGUACUUGUUGAAUAUUCUAGUGAUUAUGAAUUGCAUGAAUUCAAUGAGAAUGGAUAUAAAAAUUAAACUAUGUCAUGGUAUUUUAUGUUUUUUCUUGCGAUAAAGAAAACUGGUAUUGAGCCUCACUUUUUGUUAACGUAUUGGUUGGACUGAAAUUGUAGAGUCUCUUUUAUAUAAGAAAUAGAAUGAAGUUUAUCAAAUGUUCUCACUAUGUUUUCCCGUAAGUCAGAUCCAUCUCGCUCUCAGUCCACCUCUUCCAUUUCUUGUGCUGUCACUGUUACUAGAAUCAUCCACAAAUUAGAUUUGUUGAGAGAAAUGGAAGGAAGUUUAUCAAUUGUAAUCGGUGGAACCAAACUAGUCCCUUGUCCCACUUCUUCAAAGAAGACAUAUAAAGGGUUUUGGAUUCUAUAGCAGUUUAUACUGUCCAGUGUGCUAACUACUCCAACAGAUGUUUAUUAUCCCCACAAAGGAGAAAAUGAGGAGAUAAGAGAAACAAUAGUGGAACAACCUUUCCUUUGUGAAAUGGCACGUGAAUGGUGGCCUGAAAUAACAUGUUAAUGAACCAGAUCUUGUGAAAGAUGGCAGAAAAUCCCAAUACUUCUCAACUUCUUACUCCUCAACCUCUUUUCUUGCAAUGGAUUGUACUUAUCGGAGCUAAAGUAGACACGGAUUAUCUUGAGGUUUAUUAGGUUGCUCUACCAGGUGAGCGAUUAUGAUCAAUGUGGAACCGUAGAGUUACCUGAAUGAAUGUCUUGAAAAUGAACACGAGGGAAAUUAAGCAUGAAAUGCAUGCUUGUUCUACUUCUUCAUGACUUGAGUGACACUGUGAUGCACGUUGUAACCAUUCCCAUUUCUUGGAUUGCUGAAGACCAUAUUAGAGAUUUGAACUUUGGUGUAAAAGGGAACUCUACUUCAGAUGUUGAGUCACCUGCGGAGAGUUGAGGUUGGCGUGUCAAUAAUCCCAUGUGCUGGCAGUCUCUCUAAGAAACUCCCUCCAUUUGAGUUAUAACCAGUGAAUAAAAGUUAUGAAAUGUAAAUAAAUUAAAGCAUGAAGAUGAAGAGAGUUAGUAGUGUCAACGAGCCGAAACUUGAGGCUCGGGCUCGACUCGAGUAAAAUGGUUCGAGUUUUUUUGCGAGCCCGAGCCUAGCCGAUCUUUUGCCUGGCCAAGAAAUCUAGGCUCAGAAGGCUUGGGCCUUAUUGGGCUGGGCAUUCUCGAUUUUUUUUUUUCGUGUUGCCUUUUUUUAGAUGCUGCCUUUUCAAAAAGGCAGCAAGGAUUGAGUACUGCAUUUUGCUAGAUAUUUUAGGUAGCAAUAAAGCCAGUGUUGCUGCCUUUAAACCCUUAUUUUUAGGCGAGCCUGGUUUGAUAGAUGGCCACAUCAAUACUAUACUUGAGCAAAUAGGUACUGGCUGUUCUGUAGUGUCCAUGAUUCUUGCCCAUGAGCCCAAGCUGGUGAGUUGGCAGGUCGAGCCAUGGGCGGCCUGAGCCGAUGAGCCAAAUUGUCAUUCCUAAAUAGAGUCUUAGAGUCAUGCUAUUUACGUGAAUACCUGCAACGAUAUUGCAAGGGGAUAGAUUUUUCACGGGGGUUGUAUAGGGAGUUGAGUGAGUGGAGUUGACACAAUGACACAGUUAAGAAAAAAAUGGCACUUUGAUGCAGAAAGGUGUGGGAAUUCUUUUUGGGAAAAUGAAAGAUCAUUUUUGUUAUUGACCUUAAAAAGUCACUCACAACUUUUGAAAAAUUUCAUCUAACUUUUUCAUACUGUCUCACGAUUUUAGAAAGAUCAAAUGGAGAUCCCUAUUGGCCUGGUGAACAUAUAUAGAGGAAAAAGCUGUUGCGGUGAGUGUUCUUUACUCAUGCAAAAGAUUUUUGCUAUUCUGAUGUGGCUGACACUAUUACUUGUAGGUUGAUGUUGCAGGCGUCAAAGAUAUGUUGCUUAAGGAGCUAGUCUUUGGUCAUCAGCUAUUUGUACUUGUCAAGGUAAUUUGAUCUGCCAUUAUUAUAUCCGAUCUUUGUUUAUACUUUAUACCUAAUUAUUAUUUUUUAUACUGUUCUUAAUUAUAAUUUUGCAAUUCUGGACAUUUCUGAAUUGGUUGAUUUUUAUUCCAGUAUAAUUCCAUCUGUUUUGUUUCAUAAAUGUUGCUGAACUAACACUCAUUUGUUCCACGGUCUGCCAAAGUAUCAUUUGCUAUUGACUAUAAGAUGAAGCUGGUUCGGAAUCAACACUUUAGAAUUUUCAAUUUUUCACUUAUAGUAGUGAAACAAUCUGAGUUUGGUUUGGUUUAGUUCUGAAAACGUUUUGCUGUCAGAUAUCAUGAAUUUGGAGGAUCUAAUGGUAGGAGUUUGAUUUCCUCUGUCUAGAAACUAUUUCCUAUUUAUAUUUGUCACAAAAGUUCAUUUGACUUUUAAAAAAAACUUAAUUUCCUCUAAUGAUUGAUAAACUCUACCGUGCUUGUUUGGUGCAAAAUAGGGUUAUGACCAGUGGCCAAUUUAGCAUGGGGCUACCUGCCCCCAUGGGAGUUGAUUUCCUCUAUCUAGAUACUAUUUCCUAUUAAUGUUCAUCACAAAAGUUCAUUUGAUUUAUUAAAAAAAAAAAAAAUUAAUUUCCUCUAAUAAUUGAUAAGCUCUACCGUGCUUGUUUGGUGCAAAAUAGGUGCAUGACCUGUGGAAUAUAAGGAAAUCUCGAUUUUAAGGAAAGCUACCAUAUUUAAUAGGUUACUUUUAAUGAAUAUUGUAAUUGAUAGCUAUCAUAUUUAGUUGUGAUUUUGGUUCUAUAUAAUGAGAGAAUCUUUCACAUUGAGGGACAUCGAUAGUUUUAUUGGUAUUGACAAAGGGUUAGCAAUUUCUAAUAUUGUGGGCUAGUUUGAGUGGGUUAUAAUUGGUCUGUUUUGAAAUCAGAGAAGGCAUUAGCAUCUAGGGGCAGGGGGAUUUUGUCUUGGCUUUAGGUCCAUGGAGGGCGAGGGCAGCAGCGUCAUAGGCCUGGGUAGCUUCAACAGCAGAAUCAAAGGUGCUGUGCCAGCCAUGGACUUUCUUCUGCGGGUCUCUGAUCUCAUCAGCAAAUUUUCCCCAAGGUCGUUUUCUCACUCCCUUGAAUCUUAUCUCUUUAGAUCUUGCAGAUCAAUUAGCAUCUUCACCGUUCACCACCUUCGUCGUCUUGCCACCAUAGGUGCUUUCCCUUUCCUCAUGACCUGAAAACCGAAAAAUUCAACAACAAAAAUAAAAGAAAAUCCUUCUCUGUAAAGAGAUAAUUCAGGUACAGAAAAAGGGGAAAAGAUGAGAUGCCUAAAAAAAUCCAUAUUUACAUAGAAAAAUUAUAGAGAUGAGAUUGUGAUAGUUUAAUUUUCUCUUUUUAUAAUCGGGUCUGGUUUGAGUGCAUUGGUUUUGUAUGGGCUGUGAUUUUUUAUUUAUUUAUUUCUUAUUAUUAUUUUUUUAAUGUUAAGCGAGACCUUUAAUAAUUGAAAGGCGUAGUUCAGUCUGAAGAACUACAUACCUUUAAAUUUGACAUGAAUCCAUUAAACAAAUAGCAUUUUAACUUCUUAAGUAGAAUUGCAAAUAGUAAAUAAUCAGAUAUUUAUAUCAAGGAAUUAAGACGAUGCGCAAUUUAAAAAGUUAAAUCUAUUUUUUUAUGAAAGAGUUGAAUUUGCUAUUAAGAUAUUUGGAGAAACCAAUGAAUAUAAGAAAGCCAGUAUUCAGAAGCAACUUGGAGAAAAGAGUAGGCUUACACAUUUUCAAGAGACAGGACACGAGGAUUCUGGGAGCUAUGCAAAUAAUCAAUAUUAGUUUUAAAUUUUCCCAACAAACGCAUAAUCUGAGUAGAAAAUCAUUGAAAACGAAUAAAUAUUCUCUAAGCAAUAAGUUUUACAAUCUUGGUCAUGCAUGCCAAGAUCUAAACACCCAUAAUAAGCCUUAAAUAUAAGAAAUUACCAGCUUCACUUGCUAAAAAUUAACCGGCAUUCAAGAAUUCAUGUAAUCAUACUCAUGGAACAAAAUUAACUAGAAUUAAGAGAAGAAAUAUUUCUACAUUAAUUAUACUUGUAUAGCUUAUAGUUACUACUGUAAUGCAGAAGACUGUCGAAGAAGCUGCAAUUGUUCUCCUGCAAAAGCAGAAGGCCAGCUGCUCUAAAAUUCAGCUAUCCAAUUCGAACUCGACUCAUUAAAAAUUCUAAUAAAAGAUAUCACUUAAACCCCCAAACGGGACAUUUUUUAAACUGAAAAUGCAAAAGUUUUAAAUGCAAAUUUUGAAUCUGAAUUUAUACUUUUAACACAUUAAAACAGAAACCAGCUUAAAUUUUUCGAAGGGGAUGGACACCAGUAUAACAAUGUGAAUCAAAAAACAAAAUGCUCAGUUUUUUCUCUGGACUUUGAUUAGGAAAAUCCCAGGAACCCUAUUGUGAAAUCAGAGAAGAAUAGAAAAAAGUUGAGCAAUAUCCACUUACUGCUAUAUAUGCAGAAAUCAGUUGAGAUUUAGAAUUGAAGAAAGAGAGACGGUAUAACAGAAAGAGAAGUGGUAGCUGAUGGACACAAAAUUUGAUAAAGAAGCUAAUAUAGGGAUUAGAUAGCAAUAGGAGAUGGAAUAUAGACAAGGGAUUUGAGAGUUGAGCUACGUCUCAAUUUUGGAGCAAGAAAGAAUACAGCAUUUCCUUCAUGUUUCUGUGAUCUUUUACAUGUUCUCUCUGGAACUGUUACUGGCAUUUGUUAUGGCUUUCAUGGGACAAUGACAAGAAUUUUCUAAGAUAAAACUUUCUUUGUGAUUAAGAUCUUUUUUGAAACUAAUGUUGCAUUUAUGUAAACUACAUGUUGUUUGAUAUGAUGAUAUAAUAUAAAAAUGUUAUGUUAUAAAACAUUUAUAAUUUUUUUUUAAACUUUAAAUAGUAAUUUAUAUUUACUAAUGCAAUUACCCUUCUUUGAACAUCGAGCGAGCAAGAGAUUCUACCGUUGUAUGGUACCCUUCCUACGGGGUUGAGCUUGCAUGUUAUGCUCCAAUUUAUUUUCUGCUACCCAAUAAUCCCCUAGAUGGGGCUUCACAUUCAAAGAACUCUCUCCUGUUUCUUAAUGUACUUCGUGCAACAAAUGUGCAAGUUUGGCUUUGUACUUUGUGCAACAAAUGUGCAAGUUUAGUUUUGUACUUCGUGCAACAAAUGUGCUACAUGGCUUUGUAUUACGUGCAACAAAUGUGCAAGUUUGGCUUUAUAAAUAAGCCACUUGAAGUGAAUUAUUGAAAAUUGAGCCAACUCCCUUUGCCUUGAAUGAUGUGGCAGUGAAACUCUUAUUGUAAUUCACUGCUCACCAAACCUUGCGCCAUUUUUGCAAUUCUUAAUUUACUCAAAAUCUUCGAUAAUCCCCUGUAAAUCAUUCAUCCCCUAUUCAUGAUUGGAGUUCUAUUCGAAGUAGGGAACUCCUUGGUCUUGCCGAAGUCCAUUUAAAUGGUACACUGAAAUUCUUAAUAACAUGCAAACUGCCUGAAUUAUACCACCUUAAUUUGUCAUAUUUUGUGGUUAUUGGUUGUCAUCUUAACUAUAGAGGUAUCUUGGGCUCUUUGUAUAAGUUCUGUGGUGAUUUUGUUUUAUCAUUCUUUCUAUGAAUCUACUUGGGUGUUGUAUGGCGCAUGCCACGGUUUGGUGAGCAUUAAAUUUUAGUAAGAGGUUCAUGGCCAUGCUAUUUUCAGCCAAUAAGAUUUGCAUUAAUUCACUUCAAGAGGCUAUUAUUCAUAGUAAAAAUCCCCAAUUAUUUGAAAUAAAGCUAUUAGAUUGUUCUAGUAAGCAUAAUGAAACUCAAAGUUCUUCAUUUAUAAUGUAAUGAAGAUGACUGCUACCCAGUAAACAUUACUUCAGGAUUCAGAACUAAUUUUGUUUUAAAGAAAAUUCAAAUUCAAAUUAUAUAUAGACAAAACACUUACACUUCCAUAGUAAAGAGGAUCAAAGUUUUAUCCAUAAAAUUGGACAUCUUGAAAUCAAAACUUUAAGCAUUUCAGAAGUCAUGGUCUUAGCCUUCCAAAAAAAAAAAAAGGCAUGAUAAUGCACUCUAAUAGGGAGAAAUUACAGGAUAUGCUAGAGAGACCAAUCUCAUACUACUAUAUAUUCCUCAAUUAGCUUUUCAAGUUUGGGCAUAGACACAUAAAUAUACGACUUAAUUGGUUCGCCUGUGUUAGGAAUUUGGUAUCGUAUAAAUGGGCUAAGAACUUUGUCAAGUGCCUUCUUCACUCUCACUUUGUGAAAAUUUCUCAGUUCUUUUGAAUCCUUUAGCGUGUGUCGUGGCUGUUCUUAAGAACCUUUCUGCACAUAUCCACUGUUCUUAAAUUCAAUAACAAUCUCAUUUUUUAUGUGACUUUAUCUUCUUGUGGUCCAGUCUUGUGCAUUGGUUCACCUUGCGUUCCUGAAUCACGAUUAGAACUCAAUACAAUCGCGUUUGGAUCCUUGUCUCCUUUUGAUUGUAGAUUGCCUCCACAAGAAAACUUUUAGUCCCAUAUCUAACAUUUGUUGGCUCAAUGCCAUGAUGAAUGGGUCUAUACAAAUUUGCUUGAGAUAAUAACUUUUAAGUUAUGAAGUUUGAUGGGCAAAAAGGAACAGAUGACUCCCAACCAUCAGAAGGUAUCCUGGUUACAUGACCAGUUGGGUACUGUAUACUGCUAGACAAUAAUUUCUGUUUUGAUGCUUCCAUAGCUUCCUCCUUCACGUGAUGGAACCUACAAGAACUUCCUUUGAUGCACCAUCCUUUGGCAUGAAAUUCACUUAUAAUCCUUUCCCACCUGUCUACACAAUGCUAGAUGAAAAAUCUCUUGGCCUUGUCUGGGAAACAUUAACAUUUGUGACAUUUGCUUUAUGUUCUCUGCAGUAAAGUACUCAACACCAUUAGACUUCUCACUAGAAGCAUCAACCAUUGAUGGUGCAGCUAUGACUACUUCAACAGAAGCUUUGUUGUUACAAAGCAUUCAUUCCCCGACUUUCACACAGGAACUUUUUUUUUAAUCAGUCUUUCAGGGUUCUUUUUCCUGCAAGAGCCUCAUGGUUAUUUCAUGCUAUACUUGAUUUUCUGUUACCUAAUAAUCUCCAAACCUAGCUUCACAUUUCAAUGAAUUUUUUGUUGUUUAUUAUUGUUCUUUGUGCAACAAAUGUGCAAGUUUGGCUUUUUACUUCAUGCUACAAAUUUGCAAUUUUUACUUUGUAAGAGCGGGAUCAUACAAAGGUAGUAUAACAUGUUACAUCAACCUAGGAAAAAGGGAACAUACCAACUACCAAGGCAUCGGAAAUUAAGGAGCACGGUCAAGUUAGACGUGGAUAAGUGGGAUAAUGGGAUUCUAAAGAGAAGCCUGUUCUUGGGAAAACUUCUUUGCCUUGUGGAACCAUUCCACACGUGUUGUGAUAGGAAGAGAAAAUUUAUGCUUUAAUGAACCCAAUAAUGGAUUGAAGAAGUCAGGGACUUGGGUUCAAUACAUAUUGACAUUUCGAGGUUGUGAUUUAAGUGCAAAGCAUGAAAUCCAUAACCGGAGAGCUCUACUUAGAAGAUGGGACUGGAGAGCUAGUGAGAAGAGAGUAUUAGACUGUCCUAGGUGUUCCUCUUGGAAUCUGGAGAUGUUAGAUUGUGGAGCAAAUUUGUAAGUCACCGCGGGGUGCAAGGGACGGAGAGAAUGUGGGGCAUAGAUGUUUUAGACAUUGUGCGGAAUAUGGUUAUCCCUCCCUCUCAGUUUCCUGUUUUUCUUGUUUUCUGUGAACUUGUUAAAUAUUCUUACAAAUUAUUAUUUGCAUGAGUUCAAUGAUAAUGGAUGAUAAAAAUUAAAUUAUUCAUGGUAAUUUAUGUUUUUCUUGCGACGAAGAGAUAUGGUAUUAAGCCUCACUUUUUGUUAAAUGGUUCAAUGAAAUUGCAGUCACGUCUGUCUAAGAAAUGGAAUGAAGUUUAUCAAAUGUUGUUACUAUUCUCGCAUUACACCCUUAAAUUAGAUCUAGCUCUCUCUCACAGUCUGCCAUUUCCUGCGUGGCCUCUGCCAUUACUAAAGCCAUUCCACCAAUUAGAGUUCUUGAAAAAUGGAUGGAAGUAUAUCAAAUGUAGUCAGUGGAACCAAACUAGUCCCUUGUCCCACUUCUUCAAAAAAGACAUCUGAAAGGGUUUUUUACUUCUAUUGCAGCUUACGAUGUGCUAUCGACUACAAAUGGAGGUUUAUUAUCCUCCCAAUAUAAGGGGUUAGAGAAACGAUUGAGGAAUGACCUUUCCGUGAAUGGCUGCCUGAAAUGACGUGUUAAAUGAACCAGAUCUUGUGGAAGAUGGCAGUUGGCGUUGGGACAAUAAAAAAGCGGUAUUCCUCAAACUCCUGGCUGGCAACGGAUUUCACAUCACAGCUGAAGUAGACACAAAAUUUGUUGAGGUGUAUUACGUUGUUCUUCUGGGUGUGGGAUUAUGAUCAAUGUGGAACUUCAGAGUUAACAUGGAAAACUAAGCAUGAAAGCAUGUGCUUCUUGUAUUUCUUUAUAUGACAUGAACGACAUUGUGAUGCCAGUUGCUACCAAAUUUCAUAUCUUGGAUUGCUCGAGCAUAUUUUGAGGUGGAUUCCGUGGCAAGCCACUUACACCAUGUUUAUGUGAGGAAGAGGCCUUUUAUAACUGAAAAGCACAGUUCAAUUUGAAGAAGUUCUGACAUUUAAAUUUGUCAGUUUCUCGAUAAACCAUUAGCAUUCAAUUUCUUUUUUCCUUUGUUAACAGUCGCAUUUCUUGCUCUCUGGAUUUUUUACUCUGUCAUACGUUAUGCCUUUCAAUGUCCAAAGAUGAGUGAAUUUUCUAAGAUGAACUUUAUUUUUUAUAAAGAUCUUUUUUUAACUUAUGUUGGCAUUUAUGUAAA